GACAGAGGGUGCAAACGUUGUUCGGAAUUACUGGGCGUAAAGCGUGUGUAGGCGGCCGCGCAAGUCGGAUGUGAAAGCCCCGGGCUCAACUCAGGAAGUGCACCCGAUACUGCGUGGCUCGAGUACCGGAGAGGUUGGUGGAAUUCUCGGUGUAGAGGUGAAAUUCGUAGAUAUCGAGAGGAACACCUGUGGCGAAGGCGGCCAACUGGACGAGUACUGACGCUGAGACACGAAAGCGUGGGGAGCAAACAGG
rnacentral:rRNA from 1 species